rnacentral:rRNA from 1 species
CGCGUAGGCGGUUUUUCAAGUCGUAUGUGAAAACUUCAGGCUUAACCUGAUGAUUGCAUAUGAAACUGGAUAACUUGAGUACAGCAGAGGAAAGUGGAAUUCCUGGUGUAGCGGUGAAAUGUGCAGAUAUCAGGAAGAACACCAGUAGCGAAGGCGGCUUUCUGGGCUGUUACUGACGCUGAGGCGCGAAAGCUAGGGAGCGAACA